rnacentral:rRNA from 1 species
GAUGAACGCUGGCGGCGUGCCUAAUACAUGCAAGUCGAGCGAACGGACGAGAAGCUUGCUUCUCUGAUGUUAGCGGCGGACGGGUGAGUAACACGUGGAUAACCUACCUAUAAGACUGGGAUAACUUCGUGAAACCGUAGCUAAUACCGGCUAAUAUUUUGAACCGCAUGGUUCAAAAGUGAAAGACGGUCUUGCUGUCACUUAUAGAUGGAUCCGCGCUGCAUUAGCUAGUUGGUAAGGUAACGGCUUACCAAGGCAACGAUGCAUAGCCGACCUGAGAGGGUGAUCGGCCACACUGGAACUGAGACACGGUCCAGACUCCUACGGGAGGCAGCAGUAGGGAAUCUUCCGCAAUGGGCGAAAGCCUGACGGAGCAACGCCGCGUGAGUGAUGAAGGUCUUCGGAUCGUAAAACUCUGUUAUUAGGGAAGAACAUAUGUGUAAGUAACUGUGCACAUCUUGACGGUACCUAAUCAGAAAGCCACGGCUAACUACGUG